GAUGAACGCUAGCGGCAGGCCCAACACAUGCAAGUCGAGGGGCAGCACGUCUUCGGAUGGUGGCGACCGGCGCACGGGUGCGUAACGCGUAUGCAACCUACCUCUUACAGUGGGAUAGCCCAGAGAAAUUCGGAUUAAUACCGCAUAGUAUACAGAUUCAGCAUUGGGACUGUAUUAAACAUUUAUGGGUAAGAGAUGGGGCAUGCGUUCUAUUAGUUAGUUGGAGUGGUAACGGCACCCAGACAGCGAUAGAUAGGGGCCCUGAGAGGGGGAGUCCCCCACACGUGGUACCUGAGACACGGACCAGACUCCUACGGGAGGCAGCAGUGAGGAAUAUUGGACAAUGGGCGAGAGCCUGAUCCAGCCAUGCCGCGUGCAGGAAGACGGCCCU
rnacentral:rRNA from 1 species